rnacentral:rRNA from 1 species
UACGUAGGGGGCAAGCGUUGUCCGGAUUUAUUGGGCGUAAAGAGCGUGUAGGCGGCUUUGCAAGUCCGUUGUGAAAACUCGAGGCUCAACCUCGAGACGCCGGUGGAAACUGCAAAGCUAGAGUCCGGAAGAGGAGAGUGGAAUUCCUGGUGUAGCGGUGAAAUGCGCAGAUAUCUGGAGGAACACCGGUGGCGAAGGCGGCAUCCUGGACCAUUACUGACGCUGAUCCGCGAAAGCUAGGGGAGCAAACGGG